GAGUACCUACGGGGCGCAGCAGUGGGGAAUAUUGGGCAAUGGGCGCAAGCCUGACCCAGCAACGCCGCGUGAAGGAAGAAGGCUUUCGGGUUGUAAACUUCUUUUCUCAGGGACGAAGAAAGUGACGGUACCUGAGGAAUAAGCCACGGCUAACUACGUGCCAGCAGCCGCGGUAAUACGUAGGUGGCAGACGUUAUCCGGAUUUACUGGGUGUAUAGGGCGGGUAGGCGGGAAAGCAAGUCAGAUGUGAAAACCAUGGGCUCAACCUGUGGCCUGCAUUU
rnacentral:rRNA from 1 species